AGUGAACGCUGGCGGUAGGCCUAACACAUGCAAGUCGAACGGCAGCACAGUAAGAGCUUGCUCUUACGGGUGGCGAGUGGCGGACGGGUGAGGAAUACAUCGGAAUCUACUUUUUCGUGGGGGAUAACGUAGGGAAACUUACGCUAAUACCGCAUACGACCUACGGGUGAAAGCAGUGGAUCUUCGGACCUUGCGCGAUUGAAUGAGCCGAUGUCGGAUUAGCUAGUUGGCGGGGUAAAGGCCCACCAAGGCGACGAUCCGUAGCUGGUCUGAGAGGAUGAUCAGCCACACUGGAACUGAGACACGGUCCAGACUCCUACGGGAGGCAGCAGUGGGGAAUAUUGGGCAGUGGGCGCAAGCCUGAUCCAGCCAUACCGCGUGGGUGAAGAAGGCCUUCGGGUUGUAAAGCCCUUUUGUUGGGAAAGAAAAGCAGCAGGUUAAUACCCCGCUGUUCUGACGGUACCCAAAGAAUAAGCACCGGCUAACUUCGUG
rnacentral:rRNA from 1 species